GGCGAGUUAUACAAAUCUUUGACCAAUCCAUUCACAAAAUAUAUACUGAACAAAAAUCUAAAUGCAACACGUAUAUUUUUGGUCAUAUUAUUUAUAAGCUGAGAAAGAAUAUAACGAAAUAUUCCAUAACACAGAAAAUAUCCCUCAAAUGUUGUGCACAAAUUGGUUUGUUCAGUGUACAAAAAUGUCAUAUCAUCCCUCAUUUGUGGGUUCUAGAUGAGCUGACAUUUCAAAGAUGUUCAGCUUGAUAUGUUUUACUUUUAUUUAAAAUCAGAACAGCAUAUACUGCAUGAAUCUCUUUAUUGUAAUAAGUGUAAACAUAAUUGCAAAUGGCUUAUGAAUGGUCAUGCAAAGCAAACCCUCAAAUAAUUUUUGUGUUUAAAUGUGUAUACCCUAUGUAUAUAGUUUGUCUUGUUUUUGUACACUGCAAUAUAAGAUUUUAAAACCAUUAUGCAAUGUGUGAAAUGACUCAUUAACUUGUUACUAGUCAAUUGCUUCAAAUUUACAAAACAUAUGCAGACUCUUCAACAUGUACAGGGGAAAGGCUAUAAACAAAGCAGGUUUGUUUAGUAUGCGAUUGCAGUUUCGCAAAAGAGCAAAAACUUACACUGGAAAGUUUAAUAAUGUAUUCAUCUCACAAGAAUACAACAUCUCAUAUAGGCCAUAGUGAAUAAUGGUGAAUAAAAAAAUAUGAUGGUACAUACUAAAAUGUUACUGCCUACCUAUGCUAAAAUCAUUACACAUACUUUGAGCUAUGCCACAUUUACAGUUUACAUCAUUCACUUCAAUCGUAAUUCUUUAAACAACUGUUAAAAAUGUAUUCCGGUGUUCAGCUAAGGCCCUGCAUAAGAAGUCAUUUGGUGCCAUCUUCUUUCAAUAUUCAAAGUCAGCAACAGUGCUUCAAUAGCAAUCAUACUGUGAUGAUACAUAUAUUAUACAUACACAGUACCAGUCAAAAGUUUGAACACAUCCACUUGACUGUGUAAAUACUCGGGUCGGCUCCAGACAUAUGCGACAGAAGCGGUCACUUAGGGCCCCCAACCACUAGGGGUCCUCCAACUGCUAGGGAGCCCCCAAACGUAAGGGGAAGGGGCCCAAAAUAAAACAUUUCUAUGGGCCCCCAAAAGGCUAGAGUUGGCAUUGUACAUACUUGUACUACUGUAUAUAAAACAGCAUUAAAACCCAAUCUAUUAUCUGAUUCCCCAGUCUUUAUAUAUAAUGCCCACUUUCCUGUGUUGCUGUAAGUGCCUCCUUGCCACCCUCUUGCAGUGGCAUGUUCACGUACUCCUCCUCCCUGGAAAGAGGAGCCUCAGAAUCAGCCUGUGAGGAACCUGUGGGGGUGCUGCUCGUAGGGGUGGAGCACAGCCCGUUUCCAAUGUUCACAGGAUAGUUAACGGUGAUGUUGACAUUAACCAGGGGGCUGGAUGGCAGGGAGCUGUUUGAUUGGCAGUUGCUGGGCUGGGGGGUGCUGACCAGGGUGCUGGGCUGUUGGAGGCUGGACUGGAGGGUGCUAGGCUGUUGGAGGCUGGACUGGAGGGUGCUAGGCUGGGGGGUGUUGACCGGGGUGCCAGGCUGUUGGAAGGUGGACUGGAGGGUGCUAGGCUGGGGGGUGUUGACCGGGGUGCCAGGCUGUUGGAAGGUGGACUGGAGGGUGCUAGGUUGUUGGAGGCUGGACUGGAGGGUGCUAGGCUGGGGGGUGCUGACCAGGGUGCCAGGCUGUUGGAAGGUGGACUGGAGGGUGCUAGGCUGGGGGGUGUUGACCGGGGUGCCAGGCUGUUGGAAGGUGGACUGGAGGGUGCUAGGCUGUUGGAGGGUGGACUGGAAGAUGCUGGGCUGUUGAAGUGGAGACAGGGGGUCUACUGACAGGCCCUCCAGGCUGUUGAAGCACCCUGAUCCCAUUGUAGUGCCCUGCAGGGUCUCUGGCUGACUGGCCUCGUUGCUGCCUCCCAGAAGAAACGUCUUUUCCUGACAGAUGGUUUUGAUUGAACUGUUGCAAACAACUAAUGGCCCAUCACUAUCAAACUGAGAGAGAGCGAGAGAGACAGAGAGAGAAAUAAUUUGUUCAAGUUCAAGGAAUCAAAAUGUUCUUGUUCUUAGAUGUCAAAACAUAACUCACUUUAAUUACUGCCUUCUCAGAAUUCUCUUCUGUAGCUCGUCUGAACUGGAUGAUGGCUAUAAGAGAACAAUAAACAAUUCAUGCCCAGAUCUGCAAUAAAAUCUGGGUUUUUACAAUCAAGAUCUGAUCCGUACAGCUUUACCUUUCUUGCAAAGGACCAUGCCUAAGACCAGCAAGAAAAAACCUGUCAUUACUCCAGCAACUGGUGGGGGGACAACAACAUAGACAUGUUAGUAGGGAGACUGAAGCAGAGGAACAUUCAAAACAGGAGUGUGACUCAUGGACCACAUCUAGUAGCUCUCUGGAUUUACCCAUCCAUGGGUCAAAGCCUGGUGAUUUGCCUUCUGUCGAAGCGACGACCAGCCAGUCAGUGGAUGCCAGCUUUGGGACUAGUUUGGUUGGUAGAGUAGACAGGCUCUGCAGACUUGGCUGGGUGUGCCCCCUACCAGACGGCAGCGUUGUCAACUGUGGCCGUGAAGGUGUGGUGGUUUUCGGUGAUUCAUUUAUCUUCAGUCCACAUAUCACAUUUGAGCUGGCAUUACCGUAAGUCAGUAUGGGCCUUCCCUGAGACUUGCAGCUGUGGAGACAGUGUCAGUCUAAUUGUUACAAAAAACAAGAACUGUGUGUGUUUGUGUGUCUGAGAGAGAGAUCCAGGUUUAUGUGUAAAGGUGAGGUCCAAACGUACCCGCAAAGAUAGUAAAACUUGACAAAUCGGCCCUGAGAAGGUCCACAAUACAAUAGAAAGAGAAAUGUAUGUGUUUGUGUGGGUCUGCACGAAUGUGAUUGACUCACUCUGUGUAGGGCUGACAUGCCUGGGUGUAGGAGUGUUGGUCUGAGAAGGUUCCGUUGGGGCAGGUUUCACAUUUCACAUCUGAAUCUGCUGUCCCUGAAACACCACAAGACAUCAUCAUGUAAAUUCUCAGAGUCAAUUGUAACAUUCACCUUUUCACGAUAAUAUAAGCUUUACUUGUUGGUUAUGAAAAUACAGUACACAUGUUAACA
ensembl:lncRNA